GGGUAUAACUCAGUGGUAGAGUGCCACCUUGCCAAGGUGGAAGUCGAGAGUUCGAAUCUCUUUGCCC
rnacentral:tRNA from 1 species